rnacentral:rRNA from 1 species
AUGGUGAAGGUGAAAGGUAUUCCCAACCGAAGCAAGUGCAAGUGUACGGGACAUUAUUUGUUAGCAACUGAGUUUCCAUCGUUCUAUGUUCUAGUACUACCUUCUGUCAGCGUUUCGAAUGGGGAUUUCUCUUCAGGAACCGGCGAAGUUGAGGAAGAGAAAACGCCAUUGGUAUAUAAAAUUUACAAGCUCGACACAAGAUUACUAGUACUAUUUUUUAGCAAAAAACAGGGAACUUCGCCCGAAAACCAUGCGGCUUUUCUUCUUUCAGUUCAGCUUUCGCUAGAGAUGCUAUUAUCUCUCUGA